rfam:Schistosoma margrebowiei strain Zambia genome assembly, scaffold: SMRZ_scaffold0000014
AUCCAGCUGAUGAGUCCCGAAUAGGACGAAACGUGUGACCUGGAU